rnacentral:lncRNA from 1 species
AAACCCCUGAGACAGGAAAUAGGGUCUGGAGGCGGUGAACCUAAUGUCUUCCGAGAACUAAUUUAAAUGGAAUUAAAUUAAACUUUCUAAGCCCAGGUAAAUAACUUUGUAACUCUACUUCAGCUAUGGCAGCAAACAUCCUCUUCAUUGCAUAGGGUGUACACCAACUAAUAACAUUGUAACCUCACUUCAUCUUCUUCAUUUGCAUAUCUCACUUCAUCUUCUUCAUUUGCAUAGGGUGUACACUAAGUAAAUAACUUUGUAACCUUACUUCAUCCUCUUCAUUUACAUGUGGCAUACACCAAGUAACCAAUGGGAAUCCUCUAGAGGGUAUUUAAACACCAGAAAAUUAUUUAACUGGGCUCUUGAGCCACUUGUUCGGGCCUGCUACCACCCUGUGGAGUAUGGUUUCAUUUACAAUAAAUCUCUGCUUUUGUUGCUUUAUUAUUUCCUUACUUUGUUUGUGUGUUUUGUCCAAUUCUUUCUUCAAAAAGCCAAGAACCUGGACACCCUCCACCGAUAACUCCCCUAAGCCAUCUAUGCACACACAUCUCUUCUUUUGGAAGACUUAAUGCCCUUAUUUUGUUCUUUUCUAAGGUCCACCAUGCACAUUGUACUUUCAUACACAUCAGCUACAACACUCUGGUGAUUAAAAAUUUUUAGCUGUCAAAAAUGGAUCAGUUGCUGUACUGGGCAAGACUGUAUAAUGGCUAAGACUUUCAGACUAGUUUUGCAUUUAUUUCCCCAGAUUUUGAUGUCCCAUUGGCUGUCUGGUUCAGAAUUCAUAAUGCUUUGUCGGCGUCUCAAGUUAAGUUUGGAGAAGAACAUGUCCAAAUUCUCCAUUUCGCCUCCAUUCAAUGCAACUGUUGGCAGCAUGGAACUUCUCUUCAAGUCUGCAAUUCUCCUUAAAAAGGGUUUCUGUCAGAUGGCAAAAUGUUUUGUCAGAUAUCAGUUCUGGCUGUUGGUGAAAGAGCCAUGGAAUAUAAAAAGACAUCAAGAAGAAAUAUGUGUGAUCUGGAAUCGUGACCUUACAAGUGCAUCUGCAACGUUGGCUGUGUUUGAACGAGUGAAUCUAUAUGACUAGAAUUUUUUAACUGAUACAUGACAUUUAUACAUAUUUAUGGGGUACCUGUGAUAUUUUGUUACAUGCAUAGAAUGUUGAAUAACCAAGUCAUGGUAUUCUGGGCAUGCAUCACCUGGAGUAUUUACUGUUUCUAUGUAUUGGGGACAUUUCAAGUCCUCUCUUUCAGCUAUUUUGAAAUAUACAAUGCAUUGUUGUUAACUAUAGUCACACUAUUCUGCUGUCAUCAUCAGAACAUUUCUUCUAACUGCAUGUUUGUACCUACUAACCAACCUCUCUUUCUCUUCAUCUGCCCUUAACCCACAUAUCCUUGUUAGCCUCAGCUACCUUUAUUCUGAUAUCUACCUCCAUGAGAUCAACUGUUUUAGUUCCCACAUAUGAGUAAGAACAUGCGGUAUUUCUCUUUCUAUGCCUGGAUUAUUUCACUUAAUAUAAUGACCUCUAGUUCCAUCUGUGUUGCUACACAUGACAUGAUUUCAUUUUCUUUG